UUAGGGACCCAUAGGGACCCAUAGCAACCCAUAGGGUCCCAUAGGGACCCAUAGAGACCCAUAGGGACCCAUAGGGACCCAUAGGGAACCAUAGAGACCCAUAGGGACCCAUAGGGACCCAUAGGGACCCGCAGAAACCCAUAGAGACCUAUAGGUCCCCCAUAGGGACACACAGAGCCCCAUAGAUCCCCAUACGGACCCAUAGGUCCCACAUAGGGACCCUUAGAGCCCCAUAGAGACACAUAGGGAGCCAUAGAGACCCAUAGGGACACAUAGGGACACAUAGUAACUCAUAGAGACCCACAGAGACACAUAGAGCCCCAUAGAGCCCCAUAGGGACACAUAGAGCCCCAUAGGGACCCAUAGAGACACAUAGGGACCCAUAGAGACGGGGGGUCCCACAUAGGGACCCAUAGAGCCCCAUAGAUCUGCAUAGAGACCCAUAGGGACACAUGGAGCCCCAUAGAGCCCCAUAGGGAUCCAUAGAAACCCAUAGAGACCUAUAGGUCCCCCAUAGGGACACACAGAGCCCCAUAGGUCCCCAUAGGAACCCAAAGAACACCAUAGAGCCCCAUGGGGACCCUUAGAGACCCAUAGAGACCUAUAGAGCCCCUUAGGUCCCACAUAUGGACACAGAGCCCCAUAGGGACCCAUAGAGCCCCAUAGGGACCCAUAGAAACCCAUAGAGACACAUAGGUCCCACAUAGGGACCCAUAGAGCCCCAUAGGGACCCAUAGGGACCCAUACAGACCCAUAGGUCCUCCAUAGGGACACAUAGAGCCCCAUAGAGACCCAUAGGGACCGAUAGAAACCCGUAGAGACCCAUAGGUCCCCCAUAGAGCCCCACAGAGCCCCAUAGACACGCAUGCGGUCCCAUAGAGACCCAUAGAUCCCACAUAGGGACCCACACAGACAGGGAAGUCCCACACAGGGACACAUAGAUCCCCAUCGAGACCCAUAGAGACCCAUAGACCCCACAUAGGGACCCAAAGAGACCCAUAGGUCCCCAAUAGGGACGCAUAGAGCCCCAUAGAGACGCAUAGGGUCCCAUAGGGACCCAUAAAUCCCACAUAGGGACCCAUAGAUCCCCAUAGAGACCCAUAGGGACCAAAGGGACCCAUAGGGACGCAUAGAGCCCCAUAGAGCCCCAUACGGACCCAUAGGGACUGAUAGAAACCCAUAGAGACCCAUAGGUCCUCCAUAGGGACCCAUAGAACCCCAUAGAGACCCAUAGGGACCCAUAGAGACCCAUAGGUCCCCAAUAGGGACACAAAGAGCCCCAUAGAGAUGCAUAGGGUCCCAUAGAGCCCCAUGGGGAACCUUAGAGACCCAUACAGCCCCAUAGGUCCCACAUAUGGACACAGAGCCCCAGAGAGCCCCAUACGGACUCAUAGAGACCCAUAGGGACCCAUAGAAACCCAUAGAGCCCCAUAGAUCCCCAUAGAGAUGCAUACGGUCCCAUAGGGACCCAUAGAUCCCACAAAGGGACUCAUAGGGUCCCAUCGGGACCCACAGAGACAGGGGGUCCCACAUAGGGACACAUAGAGCCCCAUAGAUCCCCAUAGAGACCCUUAGAGACCCAUAGAUCCCACAUAGGGACCCAUAGAGACCCAUAGAGAUGCAUAGGGUCCAUAGGGACCCACAGAUCCCACAUAG
ensembl:lncRNA